AUGAACGCUCGCGGCAGGCCUCAUACAUUCAAGUCGGACGGGAUUCAGGAGCUUGCUUCUGCUGCGAGUGGCGCACGGGUGCGUAACACGUAUGUAACCUACCUUUAUCAGGGGGAUAGCCUCUCGAAAGAGAGAUUAAGCCCGCAUAAAAUCACAGCACAGCAUUGUGUAAUGAUCAAAUAUUUAUAGGAUACAGAUGGGCAUGCGGAACAUUAGCUAGAUGGCGGGGUAACGGCCCACCAUGGCGACGAUGUUUAGGGGAUCUGAGAGGAUGGCCCCCCACACUGGUACUGAGACACGGACCAGACUCCUACGGGAGGCAGCAGUAAGGAAUAGUGGUCAAUGGGCGGAAGCCUGAACCAGCCAUGCCGCGUGCAGGAAGACGGCCCUACGGGUGGUAAACUGCUUUUAUACGGGAAUAAACCCAGAUACGUGUAUCUGGCUGAAUGUACUGUAAGAAUAAGGAUCGGCUAACUCCGUG
rnacentral:rRNA from 1 species